rnacentral:tRNA from 1 species
GUUGUGGUGGCCGAGUGGUUGAGGCGUGUGCCUCGAAAUCAAAUGGGCUCUGCCCGCACAUCUUCGAAUCUUGUCCACGACG